UUUGCGUCGAAGGUAUACCGGUAAGGAGUGCUGGAGCGAAUAGAAGUGAGCAUGCAGGCAUGAGUAGCGAUAAUUAAUGUGAGAAUCAUUAACGCCGUAAACCCAAGGUUUCCUACGCGAUGCUCGUCAUCGUAGGGUUAGUCGGGUCCUAAGUCGAGUCCGAAAGGGGUAGACGAUGGCAAAUUGGUUAAUAUUCCAAUACCAACAUUAGUGUGCGAUGGAAGGACGCUUAGGGCUAAGGGGGCUAGCGGAUGGAAGUGCUAGUCUAAGGUCGUAGGAGGUUAUACAGGCAAAUCCGUAUAACAAUACUCCGAGAACUGAAAGGCUUUUUGAAGUCUUCGGAUGGAUAGAAGAACCCCUGAUGCCGUCGAGCCAAGAAAAGUUUCUAAGUUUAGCUAAUGUUGCCCGUACCGUAAACCGACACAGGUGGGUGGGAUGAGUAUUCUAAGGCGCGUGGAAGAACUCUCUUUAAGGAACUCUGCAAAAUAGCACCGUAUCUUCGGUAUAAGGUGUGGUUAGCUUUGUAUUAGGAUUUACUCCGAAAGCAAGGAAACUUACAACAAAGAGUCCCUCCCGACUGUUUACCAAAAACACAGCACUCUGCUAACUCGUAAGAGGAUGUAUAGGGUGUGACGCCUGCCCGGUGCUCGAAGGUUAAUUGAUGGGGUUAGCAUUAGCGAAGCUCUUGAUCGAAGCCCGAGUAAACGGCGGCCGUAACUAUAACGGUCCUAAGGUAGCGAAAUUCCUUGUCGGUUAAAUACCGACCUGCAUGAAUGGCGUAACGAGAUGGGAGCUGUCUCAAAGAGGGAUCCAGUGAAAUUGUAGUGGAGGUGAAAAUUCCUCCUACCCGCGGCAAGACGGAAAGACCCCGUGGACCUUUACUACAGCUUGACACUGCUACUUGGAUAAGAAUGUGCAGGAUAGGUGGGAGGCUUUGAGUAUAUGACGCCAGUUGUAUAUGAGCCAUUGUUGAGAUACCACUCUUUCUUAUUUGGGUAGCUAACCAGCUUGAGUUAUCCUCAAGUGGGACAAUGUCUGGUGGGUAGUUUGACUGGGGCGGUCGCCUCCCAAAUAAUAACGGAGGCUUACAAAGGUUGGCUCAGAACGGUUGGAAAUCGUUCGUAGAGUAUAAAGGUAUAAGCCAGCUUAACUGCAAGACAUACAAGUCAAGCAGAGACGAAAGUCGGUCUUAGUGAUCCGGUGGUUCUGUGUGGAAGGGCCAUCGCUCAAAGGAUAAAAGGUACCCCGGGGAUAACAGGCUGAUCUCCCCCAAGAGCUCACAUCGACGGGGAGGUUUGGCACCUCGAUGUCGGCUCAUCGCAUCCUGGGGCUGGAGCAGGUCCCAAGGGUAUGGCUGUUCGCCAUUUAAAGCGGUACGCGAGCUGGGUUCAGAACGUCGUGAGACAGUUCGGUCCCUAUCUGCCGUGGGCGUAAGAAGAUUGAAGAGAUUUGACCCUAGUACGAGAGGACCGGGUUGAACAAACCACUGGUGUAGCUGUUGUUCUGCCAAGAGCAUCGCAGCGUAGCUAAGUUUGGAAAGGAUAAACGCUGAAAGCAUCUAAGCGUGAAGCCAACUCUAAGAUGAAUCUUCUCUAAGCUCUCUAGAAGACUACUAGUUUGAUAGGCUGGGUGUGUAAUGGAUGAAAGUCCUUUAGCUGACCAGUACUAAUAGAGCGUUUGGCUUAUCUUU
rnacentral:rRNA from 2 species